rnacentral:lncRNA from 1 species
AUGCCAGAGGCUCUAUUUCCUAGCAUUUUACAGCUCCUAUAACUGUAGAAUGGUUGUAGGUCACAGGUAUAACCAAUGAAAACACAACCUAAGAUACAAAUCAGGAGCUACUGAUGCAAAGAAUGGGGACCAGGAGGAAGAGUUUCUUCGAGACCUGGUGGUUGAAGAGCAGUGGAUCAUUCUUGGCUGUGGUGGGAGAGGUGCUGAACGUUGUUCACGCUGGCUAUGUCAUGAGUGGAAUCUAUGGCGUCAAGGCUAGAGCUGGAGGGAAUGGGCUCCCCAUUGAGGUGAUGGACUUCAUCCCUGGUGCUAUUCAAGCAGUGGCUGUGGGCUUCCAGUCAGGGAUGCAGUGAAUGAGCCUCUUAUACCAGAGAAGGAUGGAUAGAGAAAAGCAUCAUUACAAAAGUGAAAUGUGUGAAUUUUAUUCUGGCUUUGAACAUUGAGUAGACGAAGAAGACAAUUCCAGACGGAGGAAACUCCACAAGAAAUAUCAUGGAAAUUUGAAAGAACACAGUGGGCUUGGGAAGAGAGAUCUCAGUGGUGGAAGCACCAUCAUCCCAAGGAGACUUAGGGUGCUUCCAAGACCAAGAUAACCAGGCAAUCAUAGUAGAUGCAUCAAUGCACCCUUGCCCAAGGGCCUAGACAAGAGGAGGAAGGAAAGGAGGAGCACGUGCACAAAGCUAAGGAGGUGAUUAACAACAUGAUACAGUAUUGUUUAGCUUCGCAUGAAUUUUAUCACCUUGCCUAGAACCAGCCACCAUCUGCCAGGGCUCCUGACUUUUUCUGAAAUGAAUAGACACUAAAGCCUGCUGGGGAAUUUCAUGGAAAUCAAGAUGACUCAACCCAGAGUCCAUUUCAAGGCUAGGAUGCUAGAGGACGCCAACAAAGGAGUAGGGAAGUGAAACGGAUCAGCUCACAUCCAAGCCCUUGCAUGAUCAAUCCUGCAGUAGGAGUGCUGCUCAGUUGGGACUCAUGAGAGCCCGGAAGAGGAAAAAGCAGCUCUAAGCAUAGCAAAGAAGCUGUUAUGGAAAAGACCCAAAUGUUAAAAUGGUGGACAUAGUAAAGUGAUUGGUUCUGCUUAGGGGAAUCUAGAUCCCCACAUUUUGACCUCCACUGGAGUCUCAGAAGAACAAGUGCCAGGGGGGCUUGCCACAGAGGCCAAGGCAGUGAAUGUCAGGCACAUCACAGUCCCCAAGAUGGGGAGAAGACUGAGAUGCAGGGUAACAACUGCAAUCCAUUCAUGGGAGCCAUGUUUAUCUUAAAUCAUUGACAGUGAGAUAAGGAUCAUGUCAGCCUUCAUACCUUUGAUGAUGAUCCCAGGCUGCAACAGUGACACAUAGAACUGGAUUCAGUAACUAACUACAGAUUCCAUCAACCAGGACUAGUAAAGUGAAAGGCAGAAAUUGGGAGGAGGGGUUUCUUUCUUGCUUAUAAAACUUUAUUUGGUUGUGUUGAGUAUGUGCAUGUAUGUAUGAAAUCCCAUAAAGCAGUCUUCUUAGGAACAAGCCAACAUGCCACAAUGUAGGAGAUCUUUGGAGCACUGGCCUAAAUGGCAGAGAGCUCAAGGGACUCUGCUUUGUACAAGGCAUGAUUUGUACCACCACCACUAUCCCUGUUUCAGAGCACUGUUGAAUUGUUCCAAACCUGGAUUUCUAUGUCAGCUCCCUGUCUAUAGUACUUGACUGAUAAAUGCUAGUUUCUGAAAUCUGCUUUGGUUCUAUAAUUUAUUAGACAGCUUUUUCUUCCCAUUUUAUUACUUGUUUUUACUGUCAUUGGUAUAUUAUCUCUUACAGUGAAAACAUUCAUAGGCUGAUUGAAGAGAAGAUCUGAAAUUAUUAGGCAGCAAGCAUACAAAACCCUUGCUUUAUAAAGAUAAUAUCUUAAAGGCCUAAUGUCUAUGGUUCAAAGCAGCCUGGAGAUGUUGGCUAAAUCUUCCAUCAUAGAGUCCUCAUGGGAUCUGGAAGCUCUGAUUUAUCUUCCUUCAGGCCCUAUAAGUUAGCUUUCCACAUCUGUAGGUUCCACA